UACAGAGGUCUCAAGCGUUGUUCGGAUUCAUUGGGCGUAAAGGGUGCGUAGGUGGCGCGGUAAGUCGGGUGUGAAAUCUCGGAGCUUAACUCCGAAAUUGCAUUCGAUACUGCCGUGCUUGAGGACUGGAGAGGAGACUGGAAUUCAUGGUGCAGCAGUGAAAUGCGUAGAGAUCAUGAGGAAGACCAGUGGCGAAGGCGGGUCUCUGGACAGUUCCUGACACUGAGGCACGAAGGCCAGGGGAGCAAACGGG
rnacentral:rRNA from 1 species